GUAGUUAGCCGGGGCUUCCUCCUUGGGUACCGUCACUUCCUUCGUCCCCAAGGACAGAGGUUUACAAUCCGAAAACCUUCUUCCCUCACGCGGCGUUGCUGGGUCAGGCUUUCGCCCAUUGCCCAAUAUUCCCCACUGCUGCCUCCCGUAGGAGUUUGGACCGUAUCUCAGUUCCAAUGUGGCCGAUCACCCUCUCAGGUCGGCUACCGAUCGUCGCCUUGGUGGGCCUUUACCUCACCAACUAGCUAAUCGGACGCGAGCCCACCCCAAACCGGAUUGCUCCUUUUACCUCAGCCCCAUGCGAGGCCGUGGUCUUAUGCGGUAUUAGCAGAUGUUUCCAUCUGUUAUCCCCCUGUCUGGGACAGAUUGCUCACGCGUUACUCACCCGUCCGCCACUAUCGAUUAGCUAAGCAAGCUUAUCUAAUCAACCGUUCGACUUGCAUGUGUUAGGCACGCCGCCAGCGUUCGUCCUGAGCCAUAAUCAAACUCUGA
rnacentral:rRNA from 1 species